UUUCAUUCAAGAAGAUGUUGUACCCCUCUAGCUUUUAACCCAAGAAAUUCCAAAAAAUUGGAUAUAAGGAAUUUUUUACCACAUGAUUUGCUCCAAAGAGAACCGAUCAUCACGAUUUCCUUAUGGAGCAAUGAUCACCAAACUCUCAGCAGCCUUCAACAUUGAUACCAUGGACGAAGCUGUAGACUCAACCAACCAUGGAAUCAACUACACAACCCUCAAAGAGAUAGAGGUCCACAUCAAACAUGGAUAAUUGAAGGAUGACCAAGUGGUUGAAGAAGAAAACCUUGAAAAGAAAGAAAACAUAUCAAUUAACAAAGUCUUUGAGAUUUUUCAAAGCAUAGCAAAAGAUGUGGAAGAACUUAAAAGGAUCAUCAAAAGGAAUGAUGAUGCUUAUAUCAAAGAAUGAUCUCUCUUAUAUGUUUUAGUUUCUAAGUUUGUUUGUUUUAUGGUUUUGGAAAUUUCACUUUAAGUUUAGUAAUUUCAUGAUUCUUGUAAAUUGAAUUUCAUUAUUUUAUUUUAAUAAAAAAUUGGUGUUUUUUUCC
rnacentral:lncRNA from 1 species